rnacentral:rRNA from 1 species
UACAGAGGGUGCGAGCGUUAACCGGAAUUACUGGGCGUAAAGCGCGCGUAGGCGGCUUUGCAAGUCGGGUGUGAAAUCCCCAGGCUUAACCUGGGAACUGCAUUCGAGACUGCAUUGCUAGAGUAUGGGAGAGGGAAGUGGAAUUUCCGGUGUAGCGGUGAAAUGCGUAGAUAUCGGAAGGAACAUCAGUGGCGAGAGCCAGCUCUCUGGGACGGUAGCUGACGCUGAGACGCGAAGCGUGGGGAGCGAACAGG